rnacentral:rRNA from 1 species
ACGGCUCAGUAACACGUGGGUAACCUGCCUUACACAGGGGGAUAGCCUUUCGAAAGGAAGAUUAAUACCGCAUAAGAAGUAGAUAUCACAUGGUAUCAGCUUUAAAGGAGUAAUCCGGUGUAAGAUGGACCCGCGGCGCAUUAGCUAGUUGGUGAGGUAAUGGCUCACCAAGGCGACGAUGCGUAGCCGACCUGAGAGGGUGAUCGGCCACAUUGGAACUGAGAGACGGUCCAGACUCCUACGGGAGGCAGCAGUGGGGAAUAUUGCACAAUGGAGGAAACUCUGAUGCAGCAACGCCGCGUGAGUGACGAAGGCCUUCGGGUUGUAAAGCUCUGUCAUCUGGGACGAUAAUGACGGUACCAGAGGAGGAAGCCACGGCUAACUACGUGCCAGCAGCCGCGGUAAUACGUAGGUGGCGAGCGUUGUCCGGAAUUACUGGGCGUAAAGGAUGCGUAGGUGGGAAUUUAAGUCAGAUGUGAAAUACCCGAGCUUAACUUGGGCACUGCAUUUGAAACUGAAUUUCUUGAGUGCAGGAGAGGAAAGCGGAAUUCCUAGUGUAGCGGUGAAAUGCGUAGAGAUUAGGAAGAACACCAGUGGCGAAGGCGGCUUUCUGGACUGUAACUGACACUGAGGCAUGAAAGCGUGGGGAGCAAACAGGAUUAGAUACCCUGGUAGUCCACGCUGUAAACGAUGGGUACUAGGUGUGGGAGGUAUCGACUCCUUCCGUGCCGCAGUUAACACAAUAAGUACCCCGCCUGGGGAGUACGAUCGCAAGAUUAAAACUCAAAGGAAUUGGCGGGGGAGCAC